GGCCUCGGCCGAGCAGCAGCGCCCGCAAAGGCGCCUCGUCGUCCUUGGGCGGAUGGCACUGCAGUCCUGGGGCGCAGUUAGGGGUGUAGACCCCGCACUCCUGCCCCUCCCUCCUGAGACAGCCCUCAGCUUCCGCGCAGCCCUCGGCUGGCGACCCCCCAUCCUCCUCCUCCACGCAGCCCCCUGGACAACCCGCCUGCACCCCUUGCCCGCAGCCUGGGCACCGCGCCAAGGCGCCUCCUGGGCUGGCAGCGAGCAGCAGAGCUAGCAGCAGCAGCAGCGGUGGCAGCAGCCUGUGGGGGGUCAUGGUCAGGGUUUGUGCCCCGUCCUCUCCUUCCAGAGCAGUCGCAGCGCAGCUGCUGCCCGCCGCCGC
rnacentral:lncRNA from 1 species